UAGGGAAUCUUCCACAAUGGACGCAAGUCUGAUGGAGCAACGCCGCGUGAGUGAAGAAGGUUUUCGGAUCGUAAAGCUCUGUUGUUGGUGAAGAAGGAUAGAGGUAGUAACUGGCCUUUAUUUGACGGUAAUCAACCAGAAAGUCACGGCUAACUACGUGCCAGCAGCCGCGGUAAUACGUAGGUGGCAAGCGUUGUCCGGAUUUAUUGGGCGUAAAGCGAGCGCAGGCGGAAGAAUAAGUCUGAUGUGAAAGCCCUCGGCUUAACCGAGGAACUGCAUCUGAAACUGUUUUUCUUGAGUGCAGAAGAGGAGAGUGGAAUUCCAUGUGUAGCGGUGGAAUGCGUAGAUAUAUGGAAGAACACCAGUGGCGAAGGCGACUCUCUGGUCUGCAACUGACGCUGAGGCUCGAAAGCAUGGGUAGCGAACAGG
rnacentral:rRNA from 1 species